rnacentral:rRNA from 1 species
UACAGAGGAUGCAAGCGUUAUCCGGAAUGAUUGGGCGUAAAGCGUCUGUAGGUGGCUUUUUAAGUCCGCCGUCAAAUCCCAGGGCUCAACUCUGGACAGGCGGUGGAAACUACCAAGCUGGAGUACGGUAGGGGCAGAGGGAAUUUCCAGUGGAGCGGUGAAAUGCGUAGAGAUUGGAAAGAACACUGAUGGCGAAGGCACUUUACUGGGCUAUUACUAACACUCAGAGACGAAAGCUAGGGUAGCAAAUGGGG